CCUGUCUAGUCUUUCCUCCAAGCUAUCUAUUUAUGUAAACAUAGACAUAAAUAGGUAUAACUUGGAGGAAAGACUAGACGGGGGG